CUCAGCCAGACUCUGUUGGUUGAUCUCAUCAUCCUGUGAAUUAUUACAAGAAAAGGACAUCAACUGUUUGUACAGGUUGCUCCUCCUCGUAUUUGCUCCGCUCGUGGCAACAAUAUUAUUUGACUUUUCUUUCACAAAGCUGAACUGUACCUGUAGGUCUGUCUUGAUGAACGAGGCUCCUGCUUGGACCAGAUAAUGACAGAUAGUUCUUUGAGACAGGGACGCAGCUCGGUGAAGGACCGUCUCCCCCCUGGUCGAGAGAGAGAGAGAGAGAGAGAGAGAGAGAGAGAGAGAGCGAGAGAGAGAGCGAGAGAGAGAGAGCGCGUCAGAUUACAGCAUCUGACAACAUCACCCGAGGAACAGACAUCAACAGUGGCCCCCCUGCUGCUUCUUUUGGUGUCUUGUGUUUAUGAUGGCACAUAUAUCAUCACAUAUAGACUGAACAGAGAUCAGAGCACAGAUACAGACACAGGCAGUUUGAAAGCAUCAUCAUCUACACUCUGUUAACAUUUAAAUAAAGUGUUUAGCAUUUUAAAAACCUCAUGGUUUCAGUUCAAUGUUAGAUGUUUUCAAGCACAAAUAUAAUCUGUACUUACUGCAGUUUUUCUGUAACGACUAAAAACUACUUAAAAGGCCGGGUUGAUGAUUUUCUCCAGAUCCACUUUUUAAGAUUGUGGUUGAAAUUGUCUUUUGGUCCUGACAAUGCAGGCAAUGAGCUGAGGUCUGCUUCUGGGGUGGGUGCAGACGGAGCACUGAGGGAAUGCUACUUUUAGAAAAUGACCGACCCUGCCUUUAACCCAGACAAGACUCUCUCUUACCUGCUUUUUGUGUCUUCAGAUAACAUUGGUAUUGAGUUGGCGCUCUACAAAAUAAAGAUUGAUUGAACUGA